UACCAGCUCUCCGAGUGGUAGGGAUGAUUAUUGGGCUUAAAGCGUCCGUAGCCGGCUUAGCAAGUCUCCUGUUAAAUUCAGCGACCUAAUCGUUGAGCCGCGGGAGAUACUACUAGGCUAGGAGGCGGGAGAGGUCGACGGUACUUUCGGGGUAGGGGUGAAAUCCUAUAAUCCCGGGAGGACCACCAGUGGCGGAGGCUGUCGACUAGAACGCGCUCGACGGUGAGGGACGAAAGCUGGGGGAGCGAACCGGAUUAGAUACCCGGGUAGUCCCAGCUGUAAACGAUGCGGGCUAGGUGUUGGGGUGGCUACGGGCCACUUCAGUGCCGCAGGAAAGCCAUUAAGCCCGCCGCCUGGGGAGUACGGCCGCAAGGCUGAAACUUAAGGAAUUGGCGGGGGAGCACCACAAGGCGUGAAGCUUGCGGUUC
rnacentral:rRNA from 1 species